UACGAAGGGGGCUAGCGUUGCUCGGAAUCACUGGGCGUAAAGCGCACGUAGGCGGAUCUUUAAGUCAGGGGUGAAAUCCUGGAGCUCAACUCCAGAACUGCCUUUGAUACUGGGGAUCUCGAGUCCGGAAGAGGUGAGUGGAACUCCGAGUGUAGAGGUGAAAUUCGUAGAUAUUCGGAAGAACACCAGUGGCGAAGGCGGCUCACUAGUCCGGUACUGACGCUGAGGUGCGAAAGCGUGGGGAGCAAACAGG
rnacentral:rRNA from 1 species